rnacentral:rRNA from 1 species
UAAUACGGAGGGGGCAAGCGUUGUUCGGAAUUACUGGGCGUAAAGGGCGCGUAGGCGGUCUACUAAGUUGGAUGUGAAAACUCUGGGCUUAACCCAGAACCUGCAUUCAAAACUGUUAGGCUGGAGCUCUGGAGGGGAUAGCGGAAUUCCUGGUGUAGCGGUGAAAUGCGUAGAUAUCAGGAGGAACACCGGUGGCGAAGGCGGCUAUCUGGACAGAAACUGACGCUGAGGCGCGAAAGCUAGGGGAGCAAACAGGAUUAGAUACCCUGGUAGUCCUAGCCCUAAACGAUGGAUACUUGGUGUGACUGGGAUUGAAUCCAGUCGUGCCGAAGCUAACGCAUUAAGUAUUCCGCCUGGGGAGUACGGUCGCAAGGCU